rnacentral:rRNA from 1 species
UCAGCUUGUUGGUGAGGUAAUGGCUCACCAAGGCGUCGACGGGUAGCCGGCCUGAGAGGGUGACCGGCCACACUGGGACUGAGACACGGCCCAGACUCCUACGGGAGGCAGCAGUGGGGAAUAUUGCACAAUGGGCGCAAGCCUGAUGCAGCAACGCCGCGUGAGGGAUGACGGCCUUCGGGUUGUAAACCUCUUUUAGCAGGGAAGAAGCGAAAGUGACGGUACCUGCAGAAAAAGCACCGGCUAACUACGUGCCAGCAGCCGCGGUAAUACGUAGGGUGCAAGCGUUAUCCGGAAUUAUUGGGCGUAAAGAGCUCGUAGGCGGUUUGUCGCGUCUGCUGUGAAAUCCCGAGGCUCAACCUCGGGUCUGCAGUGGGUACGGGCAGACUAGAGUGCGGUAGGGGAGAUUGGAAUUCCUGGUGUAGCGGUGGAAUGCGCAGAUAUCAGGAGGAACACCGAUGGCGAAGGCAGAUCUCUGGGCCGUAACUGACGCUGAGGAGCGAAAGGGUGGGGAGCAAACAGGCUUAGAUACCCUGGUAGUCCACCCCGUAAACGUUGGGAACUAGUUGUGGGGUCCAUUCCACGGAUUCCG